GAAUGAUUUCAAAGUCCAUGCUGAUGGCUAGUCUCACAGAGUCCUGGAUAUAUUUUUACAAGUGCUACUGGACAUACACUCAUGCGUGUCCUGUAUUUUGUUCACACUCAUCAUGAAUAAGAGUGGUGGUUCCUUGAGGACGGUGAUAAACUUCUAUUUAUCUUUCAAUCUCCUCUUGUGUCAUCCCAUUGAUUGAAUGAAUACCUCUCCACUCCCAGGCAUAAAUCUAGUUUGGAGUUAGACUGUACUUCUUUGUGUUAAAAUAUAAAUCCUGAAUCAUUAAAAUCAAUUGUUUGUCUUUGGUUUGUUGACGUCUUUACAAAUACAACUUACAAGGAGAAAUAUUUGUUGUUUCUCCCAUUUGAGAAUUGUCUUUCAAAGUCACAAUAAUCAUCUAUGUUAGAAUUAGGUUAUACACAGAUACUUCCUGGGAAGUAUUUGAAAUAUGUGCAAUGUUGAUGCUGAACACUUAAAGAAAAAGUUGCUUUUCUUUACCUUCAAUUAAUGGAUAGGGGUUUUAUCACAUAGCUUGAUGCUCAUUCUACACAACUUUAUGAUCUUGAUAGGGUCAGAAAGAGGCUAGGAGAGGCAAUCUGGGAGUUCCCCAAGGAUUGCCAACUCUCCCUGAGUUUCUUUUCUCAGUUAGUGACCUCACUCCUGUGACUUUUUUUUGACCUUUAGAGCUUCAGGGUGAUCUUUGGCCUCACUUUCCUUUCCUUUGUUCAACUGGCCACCGAGAUUUGUCAGUUCUCCUUGUGAAAUGACUCAUCAUUUUCUACCUUUUAUUUCUCCUGAACUCAUGAAAUAACCUUUUAAUAAGUCUCCCUGCAUCCAGCUUGUCUCCAGCUCUGGCAUGUUUUGAACGUUGCCACUCAGCAAGCUUUCAGAAACAGCUGAUCGUGUCCUGCGUAAGGCCUUCAGUGGCUCAGCACCGCCGGUGAAAGAAAGGCCCAGGCUGCCCACCUCCACACACUUCCCACUGGGAACCUCCCGUCUGAGCUUGGAUUUUUCUCCUACUGUUCUGACUGGGAAGCCUGCCUGCCUCCACACUGGCUUGGAUUUGAGGAACCAUGCUUACCUUUAAUGAAAAGGCCAGGAGAUAGAGCCCACCUCAUGGAAAGAUCUGCCACAGCCUGUGAGACCCUGCACCAGAAGUGGAAGAGGCAAGGGAAGAUGAGAACUCCCACCAACAUCGAAGGGUCUGGAAAAGACCCGAGUCAUCAGUUAUUAGGUUGCAACUUCGGCUAAAAUAAAGUUUUGAAAUUAUCUGUGAUUAGAGUUUUC
rnacentral:lncRNA from 1 species